rnacentral:rRNA from 1 species
AAACCAACCGGGAUUGCCUCAGUAACGGCGAGUGAAGCGGCAAGAGCUCAAAUUUGAAAUCUGGCCCCCCCGGGGUCCGAGUUGUAAUUUGGAGAGGAUGCUUCGGGCGCCGUUCCCGUCUAAGUGCCCCUGGAACGGGCUGUCGCAGAGGGUGAGAACCCCGUCUGGGACGGGCGACGGCGCCCGUGUGAAGCUCCUUCGACGAGUCGAGUUGUUUGGGAAUGCAGCUCUAAGCGGGUGGUAAAUUUCAUCUAAAGCUAAAUACUGGCCGGAGACCGAUAGCGCACAAGUAGAGUGAUCGAAAGAUGAAAAGCACUUUGAAAAGAGAGUCAAACAGCACGUGAAAUUGUUGAAAGGGAAGCGUUGGCCCCCAGACGCGCCCGGGAGGGCUCAGCCGGCACGUGUGCCGGUGUACUCUCUCCCGGGCGGGCCAGCAUCGGUUUGGGCGGUCGCUGAAAGGCCCCGGGAAUGUAGCACCCUCCGGGGUGCCUUAUAGCCCGGGGCGGCAUGCGGCCCGCCGGGACCGAGGCCCGCGCUUCGGCGAGGAUGC